GAUGGGCUCCAACAUACAUGGGACAAGCAGUAUAAAUGUAAAGAUGAAUGUAUGUAUGGAUGGAAAAGAAUGGAUGAAAGGAUACAAGAAAGAAAGAAAGAAAGAGUGGAAGAAAGAAAUAUAAAAGGACAAAAGAAUGGGGGAAAAAAACAAAAGAAAAUACUUAAGAAAGGUUGAAAGAGAAAUAUAGGAGGAAAGAAGGCAUUAUCAAAAGAAGGAAAGUAGGCAGGAAAGAAAUAAUCUGUCUGCAGUCGUAUGGGGCUGAUCUGAGUAGCCAUCAAAUCCACUGGUGAAGCACUAAGGUUAAGACAACCUUCUUCUAAAGCUCGGCCUGUGUCCUUGGUGGUCAGAGCACAUCUGCAGUGUGCACCUGUCCCCACUUAAGCAACAGGAGCUGACUUUAUGGCGUGCAAGGAAAUCUGAUCUGGAAAACAAGGUGAGGCUGUCAGAUGUAAGGGUGCAGCCUGUCCUCAGUAAAUACAGUCCUGUUGAUUCAGCUUUCACAACUCAUCUCACAGCAGCGGAGAGCCACUCACACAAAGCCUGGUCUGAACUGAGACUUUCAACAUAUCAUUCCUCUUUCACAUCAAGAAAAACUUACAAGGAUCUGACGUCUGAUUCUUCAGCCCAGGUGAUUUACAAGCCCCAUCUCCACGUACAAAAGCCAUCAAGAACCACCUCCCCCCACCAAACACCCAGCUGUCCAGCUCAUGUCAUAAAACACCAGAACACCUGCAUGAAAGACUGGUGCCAGAGGUAGAAAGGGGACAGGUGGGAAACCACUUGACAAUAUAUGUGAUCACAUGGGACAAUGUGGCAUUCCACCAUUUCCAUGCAGUCACAGCCUCGUUUGAUGCACAUCCAAGGAAGAUGUCCCUUUUCUUUGCCCCUUACUCCCCUUUCCUCAACCCCAUUGAGGAGUUUUUCUCAGCCUGGAGAUGGAAGAAUUUUGACCAUCGUCCACAGGACCAAAUGUCCUUCCUGAAUGCAAUGGAUUCUGCAUGCCAAGACAUCACAGCUGAAAACUGCAGGGGUGAAUAAGGCAUGCCAAAAGAUUCUUCCCAAGAUGCCUUGCCAGAGAAGAUAUCAGGUGUGAAGUGGAUGAGAACAUGUGGCCAAAUGCAGAAGACCGGGCAGAAUAGAAGAUUAUUUUAUUUUUAUUUAUUUUUCCCCUAUGGCUUAUAUGAUUUAUAUAUAUACACACACACACACACAUAUAUAUAUAUAUAUAUAUAUAUAUAUAGAUGGCAGCUGUAUUACAUAUUUUUGUUAUCUUGCAGUAAUGUCUUAUAAAUAAAGGAUUUACUGCAUUAAUUCUGACUCUGUUGUCUUCUUUCUUCUUCUUUUUUUUCAUAAUCCAU